GUUGGCUAUGGAGACAUGGUCCCCACAACCAUAGGUGGAAAAAUAGUUGGCUCUUUGUGUGCCAUUGCAGGUGUAUUAACAAUUGCCUUACCAGUGCCGGUUAUAGUGUCCAAU
rfam:Anolis carolinensis chromosome 4, whole genome shotgun sequence.